rnacentral:rRNA from 1 species
AUAGCGUAUAUUAAAGUUGUUGCAGUUAAAAAGCUCGUAGUUGGAUUUCUAGGGAAAGGGGUAAAACCCAAUCUCUACUAGUCCCUUUUGGGACAGUUACUGUGAGAAAAUUAGAGUGUUUCAAGCAGGCUUUUGCAGGAAUACAUUAGCAUGGAAUAACGAAUGUUUCUAGAAUCUUGGUUAAUUCUAGAUAACGAUUAAUAGGGACAGUUGGGGGCAUUAGUAUUUAACUGUCAGAGGUGAAAUUCUUGGAUUUGUUAAAGACUAACGUAUG